AGAGUUUGAUCCUGGCUCAGANUGAACGCNGGCGGCAGGCCUAACACAUGCAAGUCGAACGGUAACAGAGAGCAGCUUGCUGCUCUGCUGACGAGUGGCGGACGGGUGAGUAAUGUCUGGGGAUCUGCCCGAUGGAGGGGGAUAACCACUGGAAACGGUGGCUAAUACCGCAUAACGUCGCAAGACCAAAGUGGGGGACCUUCGGGCCUCACACCAUCGGAUGAACCCAGAUGGGAUUAGCUAGUAGGUGGGGUAACGGCUCACCUAGGCGACGAUCCCUAGCUGGUCUGAGAGGAUGACCAGCCACACUGGAACUGAGACACGGUCCAGACUCCUACGGGAGGCAGCAGUGGGGAAUAUUGCACAAUGGGCGCAAGCCUGAUGCAGCCAUGCCGCGUGUAUGAAGAAGGCCUUCGGGUUGUAAAGUACUUUCAGCGGGGAGGAAGGGAUGGAGCUUAAUACGCUUCGUCAUUGACGUUACCCGCAGAAGAAGCACCGGCUAACUCCGUGCCAGCAGCCGCGGUAAUACGGAGGGUGCAAGCGUUAAUCGGAAUUACUGGGCGUAAAGCGCACGCAGGCGGUCUGUCAAGUCGGAUGUGAAAUCCCCGGGCUCAACCCGGGAACUGCAUUCGAAACUGGCAGGCUAGAGUCUCGUAGAGGGGGGUAGAAUUCCAGGUGUAGCGGUGAAAUGCGUAGAGAUCUGGAGGAAUACCGGUGGCGAAGGCGGC
rnacentral:rRNA from 1 species